CCUACGGGUGGCAGCAGUGGGGAAUCUUGGACAAUGGGGGCAACCUGAUCCAGCCAUGCCGCGUGAGUGAAGAAGGUCUUCGGAUUGUAAAGCUCUUUUACCAGGGACGCGGUACCUGGAGAAUAAGCCCCGGCAAACUUCGUGCCAGCAGCCGCGGUAAUACGAAGGGGGCUAGCGUUGUUCGGAAUUACUGGGCGUAAAGCGCACGUAGGCGGGUUAUUAAGUCAGGGGUGAAAUCCCAGAGCUCAACUCGGAACUGCCUUUGAUACUGGUAAUCUAGAGAUCGGAAGAGGUGAGUGGAAUUCCCAGUGUAGAGGUGAAAUUCGUAGAUAUUGGGAAGAACACCAGUGGCGAAGGCGGCUCACUGGUCGAACUGACGCUGAGGUGCGAAACGUGGGGAGCAAACAGGAUUAGAUACCCUAGUAGUC
rnacentral:rRNA from 1 species